UGCCUGUCCUGCCUGCCUCCCAGGGUGAACUGAGCUGAAGGAUUCUCUAGUGGAAACACUGGGGGCAGCUGCCUCAGUUUCCCCAUCUAUAAAACAAUACGGCCUCAGCGAAUGCCCAGGACCUUGGGGGGACCUCUAAUGGUCCACGUGUGACUCUGCCGUCCUUCAUUCGACGAGCCCUCGCUGAUGGACAU